UAUGGUGAUGUGGGAGAGCAAGUUCUCUGCAAUGGUUGUUCAAUAUUUCAAGUCUGAAACUUGAUGAAAUAGCCCUUACGGCUAAGACCCAUUUCUGUUUGAGGAAAUUGAAAAACCCAUGCAAGUGCAAGUUGAGAGGCUUACUUCUCUUAUGGGGGCACCUUUAUUUGACAUGCUGUUGAAAGCAUACCAGCCUGUCCCUUGAAAGUUGGUUGUUCAUUAGGACAGAUACCUGGUGCAAAGUGAAGAGGUGGGAGAAGAAAAAGGCAGGAGGGCUGGAAGAGAAUGAGGCUGGGAGGAGCUGGGCAGGAGGAGCACAGAACAAUGGUCAACUCUUGCAUCGGGGUGGUACAUCAUACAUUGCAAAGUGUCAAAAAUCAAACUUUGCCUCGUGUUGAGAGGGAAGGAGAUCCUCUGAGGAGCCAGCAUAUUGAUCGGUGAAAAUAUCCUACAGUAAUGAUUUUACAGAUGGAUGAGAAACAACUUCUGAGGCCUGACUUCAUUACUGGUGAAGUAAGUCUCAAAGAGCGCAGUUUUAUGUCUAAAAGGAAGUCAACUGAUCUGAUCAGGAUAAAGCAAUUUCCUUUAAGCCUAAUACGUGAGUAAAUACUAGCAAUGUAUGGUUUCAGAGAUACCAGAUAUUCCUUUAGGGGCAAUCUAAGGUGGUGAAUGACUUCAGUAGUCUGCAGUAUCUACAAUCUGCAUUGGAACAAAACCACACGAUUUUAUGAAGAAUUUCAGUAAAAAGAUAAAUACGCGUGAGUCUCCUUCAAUAGCAUUUAUGCGUUACAUGCGUCCCUCAUAGUAGUGUUGUGCUCUUGGUGGAGAGAUCAGAUUUGGUGGUUGCACAGACAACCUGAGUCCUGUGUAUGCAGUGAGUAAUUCCUGCAUGGUUUAUAGAUGAGGUCAGAAGCCUGUUGGCUUUCCAAGAGAAAAGUGAGCCAUUACACAGAUGAUCUGGACAUCCCCCCCCGCCCCCAAAAAAAUCUUAGCUCGGGACACAAAUCUAACCAGUGUCAUUGUGUGAUUGGUACCUCUUUUGUUUAAUACAGCCAGCGCCUAAGCCUCUUCCCCUCCUUUUGUUUUAGCAUCCUACCUAUUUGGACCCUGACUUGUAGCCAAUUCAUAGUCCUUUUUUAAAAUUAAUUAUUCAUUUUUAUUCUUUCUGGGCAGGUGAUAACUAGAUGCAGCUUUUUUUUAUCUCAGGACAGGUCACAAAACCCAAAUAUUUUAGGUGUAAGCAAAAGACUAUGUCCUUCUUUCUUUAUGAAUAUGGGUAAGACAUUUAUGCUUCGCUUCUGUGCUAUAUUUGCUACCAUCAGCUAAGAAGUGGCAGCAGUCUGCAAAUGGUUUAAAUCUUCUGCAUCUUUUCUGAAGAGGCGCGACCAAGAAGUAGAAAUGGAAACGAUAUCUUUGUCCCCAGGUUUGUUAAGUCUGAUUCUUUUGAAAACGCACAAUUAGCUUCUAGGUGAAUUGCUUAGGGAAGAGCAAAUGCCAGCACUAUGCCAAUACUACGCACUUUUCUCUUUCACCGUGCAGGACCCUACUGGUAGUUGUGUGCUGGUUUUGUGUUUUGACAAGAUCAGACUGAUUGAAUCACAGUAAAACUUAACCAAUACUAAACUCCCACCUAUGCUGUAUGUGUACAAACUUGGAUAAACUGCUCCUUUGUAAUUUUUGGUUAGUUGUGGUAUUGUUUCAUCAUAGCUAAUAGUUGCAUCACCUGCCAUUUGUGCUGCCUUUACCUUCCAUCUAGAUUCCAAUAGUGCUGUCUACCUAGGCAUGAAGUCCUCAGUGCUUGGGGAACCUCCAGAGAGACUGCUAUGCUCUAUACUAUCUCCACAGUUUAUUCUGUGUAUGUCAAGCUUGUCCUCUGUUCUGUGCAGUGUUUUACCAUCCAUUGUCAGACUAAGCUUAGAUCCCAAGCCAUUGUAGAAAUGUGUUGGGUUGUCCAAGCAGCGGGAGGAAGACCUCAAACCAUCUAACAGAAGCACUCUACCAGCGGGCAGCACAAAGAUCCUGUAGCCCAACUUUGUCAUGUAACGUUGGGUAUUGCGGCUUUGCGAAUGUGAAAUGAGAGGGUUGGUGGGGAGGCUCUUCCAAGCGAGCGGCUUUCUUCAGCAGGCUUUUGCAUGAGGACAGAUAAGGCUAAGAAAGACCACAUGCACCCUGCUGCUGAGUUUCUUUGGGCUGUUUCUUCCACUCUUCAGGGUUUUUCAUUACUGAAUCUCACAGGGGAAGGUAGCAGAGCUUUGAACGUUGUGUUUUGUUCAUAUCGAAGCAAAUUGGUUAACCUAUUAGAAGUAGCCAAGAGGCUACUUUAAAAGAUAAAUAGGAGCUAUGUAAUUCAAAGACCAACACCGCUCGUGGAUAGAAAAUUGAAGAAAAUGAUUCUAAAUCUUACUUACUCUAUUACGUUAAUAAAAUUGCAAUAGAGCAGAAGUGAUCAAACACUGUAUAUUUUACAAUAUUUUAAUGAAUCAGUUAAAUACAUCUAUCUUUUUUCUUUUGUACAGAUACUUUAUUUCUAAAGAAAUUAAAAUAUACUUUUUAUAGUAGAUUGCAUUUUGAACUGCUACAGUUGUAAUACAAGUUUUAAUGAUAUUUGCUAGUUCUGUGUAUUUUAUUUUUGACUUUGUUUUUUCCUUAAGGAAAAGCUUCAGCUGGAAUCACAUGAUUAUAGCUUACACUUCUGUUACAAGUUUUUAGUUCUCAUGGUUGUGAUUUCCAUUAAAACCUAAUUAUAUAUUGUAUAUCGAUAUGUAUAUAUAAUGAUACAUGUAUUUCUUAUUUCUUGUAGAGGGUAUUGCUUAAACAUUUUGUGGUUGUAGGAUUUACUUUAAAUUUUAGGAUUUACUCAAUUGUAUUUUCUUACAUUGUUUUACUCAAACGUAAUAGUUGAAAUCAUGAUCCCCUUCUCAUUUGUUCUGUUGUCACUUGCUCUGUAAAAUACAGCUGUUUUUCUGUUUCUUUCCCUGACAAAUACAGUUGUAGGUAGCGGGGCCAGGUGUUCACUUGAUAACCUGCGCAGCAGUGUCAAAAUCAGCAUAGUUUUACCGGGUACUGCCUUGAUCUGUUCUAUGCUCUUAAACUUGUACUGAAGUUCUGAAAACUGCCAGCGGCUCCUUGUGCGGAGGCCCCCUUUAAUCUGAUCGAGAUAAAACAUAACCGUGCAUCCUGCCUUUUCAGCGGAAGUUUCAUGUUAUGGCCACAGGGUGGCAUCACUAUGUUAGUUUUGCUUAGAUUGUUACCCAGGUUUUUUUGGUUUGGUUUUUUUUUUUCUUUUUUUUUUUUUUCUCAAGUCCUCACAACUUGGCUGAUACUGUUACAACUGGACUGCUAGUUUGGGGGGCGGGUGUGUGUUUUAAAAUAUCCCCCUCAUAAAUCUGUAGGUCCAAACCAAAUGCUUCCAGAAUGGAUUUUUUUAAUCCAAAAAUACUUUGUACCAUUCAUAGAACGUAGCCUGACAUUCAAAAUGGACCGUUUUGCUGUCUGCAAUGACAAAAGCAAAAUGUAAAUUAUGCAUAAACAUAAAUUGGUCACAUUAUUUUUUUCUUUGAAUUUUAAGGUAUAAAUAACAUUGUUUUGGGAUACUUAUAUGCCAAGUAAUACGUAUGUUAUCACUCUCCUCUUAAAAAACAAAUGUCACAUUCCCCAUUUUGUUGCGUUAAAUUAAGAUACCGUGUACAAGCUGCUUCUCAUGAAGCUGUGAAAGAGUAGGGCGAUCGCUAUGCCAAUAGUCAGACUGUAAAGCUGGAUUCUGCAGUGGCCCGGAGGGUGCUGAGUGAGCAGCCUGACAUCACUAGAAGGCUGCUUUCCAUCACCUCUGGGUGGCAGUGGCAAAUGGGGCAUGGUCCUGAUGACUGAGAAAAGGUGAGGGUUAGGCCAUUCUUUGAAGAGAACAACUUGAGGAAUUGUGGGCUGGUUGGUCUGACCUCAGUCUGCGGGAAGAUUACAGUGUGAGUCCUUGCAAAAGCUGGGCCCAGCACUACAUCCAGGCACGUGAAGGGCAAGAACAUAAUUGAGAACAGUGAACAUGGAUUUAUCAAGGGCAAAUUAUGUCUGAGCAUCACCAGAUGAAAGAAACUGAUGUCAUUCACCUUGGCGUUAGCAAGGCUUUCAACAUGGUGCUGUUGUAGAAGCUGUAUUGGAGGGGUACGGUUUGGACAGGCAAACCAUAAGGUGGGGUAGAUGCUUUGCUGGACUGUCAGGUAGAACGGGCAGGGCAAACCCAACCAGCAGCUCAUCACCAGUAGGAGGUUGUUACUGGAACUGAUGCCAGUCCUCAGGGGCUGUCAUGGAGCUGAUGCCGUUGGAUGUCUUUGCCAAUGACCUGGUCGAUGGGACAGAGCAGACCCUUAGCCAGCCCUGGGCGAUGCUGGGUUGGAGGCAGGGGACAGUGCCUGAGGGGGGGCGCACAGGAGCCUCAGCAUGCUGCAGGAGCAGGCUGGCCGGGGCCUCCUGGAUUUGGUGAGGGUAAGUGCAACGUUCUCCCCUGGGGAUGGAGUGGGGACCAUCCGCAGCCCAGGCUGGGUGCUGACUGACAAGGAAACAGCUUUGUGGAGAAGGACCUGGGGGGGACGUUGCACCCAAGUCACAGCCUGUCCUUGCCACGGUGAAGGUGAGCCACGUUGGGUCAUGUGAGCAAGAGCAGAGGCAGCCUGGGUCCUCGUGCGUUUGGUCCAGGGGUGUUACUGCUGCGCAUGGGGGCUUCAAUUGUCCUGAAGGCCCUACAGCGCAGAGAGACGGCCUCACAGACCGGAGGCCUGGUUGCUUCAGGUCGCAGGUAGGGCAUGUCUGUGGCCUUCAGGGUCUAUCAGAAGCACAAGUACUUCAUGAUUUUUCUUGUGAUUCAAACGCUGUGUAUUUGUGUAUGGUGCUUUUGAAUGCACUUGGGAACUUAUAGUACUGCUGAAACUCUUGAGCACUCUUGGACCUGCUGCAUUCUUCCUCUGCUCUCCGAAGCAUCGAUUACUGCUAGCUGUCAGAAAUGAGGAACUGGUAAAAGGAUAUGUGGUCUGGGUAUGUCCACUCUUACAUCCUGUUUACUCUGCUAGAACUACUGAUAUGAUGAAACUUACUCAUAUCCUCAAGUGUUUUGGUGGGCUGUCCUGGAGAGUGCAGCGCUUUGCAGAAUAUAGAUUCCUGAGCCUAAAGAAAUAAUUAAAUUUUCAACCAAGUAUCUUAGAUGAUACAAAAAUUAAUGCACUUUUAUUUGUCUCAGUCCCAGCGAGUUUCAUUUUAGGAGCUUGAUUCUCCCACGCUUUCUUGCACUGAGUAAUACCUCGCUAAAUGAGUAAUCUGAUUGUUCUGAUUUCUCUUUCCAUGGUAGCAAGAUUAUUUACCACCCUAAACUAGAUUUUAAAAUAUUUUUUAAACGCAUUAAAAACAAGCUUAGAAACCUGGGACUGUAGUAAUUUUGGAUGAACAGUAUAAGGAAUUAAAGUAUAGUAAGCCUGAAAAUAUAGAGUCAUUGAGCAAAUUUUCACUGUCUCUUCACAAAUAUGUUAAGCAAGCCAGCUCAAAUACUUCCUUCAUAGUUCAUAUUCUGCUGAGUGGUUUAGCUCCACGUCCUUCUGGAAAUCCUUACUUCUCUGGAAAUGAGAGAAUGUGGUCUCAGUUGGCUGUAGUCACAGGCAUUGCUACUUACAGAGCUGGCUUAAGACGCCUGUGUAUUUUACAGAAUCACAGAGUGGCAAGGGUUGGAAGG